GACAGGGGGCUCGAGCGUUAAUCGGAAUCACUGGGCUUAAAGGGUGCGUAGGCGGACCAGUAAGCGUCCCGUGAAAUCCCCCGGCUCAACCGGGGAACUGCGGGGCGAACUGCUGGUCUAGAGGAAGCUAGAGGCGGGUAGAACGAUAGGUGGAGCGGUGGAAUGCGUAGAUAUCUGGAGGAACACCGGUGGCGAAGGCGGCGUUCUGGACUGCAACUGACACUGAAAAACGAAAGCCAGGGGAGCAAACGGG
rnacentral:rRNA from 1 species